UCCCUGGUAGUAUAUCGGCUAGUACACCCGCUUGUCACUAUUACAGUGCGCGGGAGAGCGGGGUUCGACUCCCCGCCAAGGAG